CCUACGGGAGGCAGCAGUAGGGAAUAUUGCUCAAUGGGGGAAACCCUGAAGCAGCAACGCCGCGUGGAGGAUGAAGGUUUUCGGAUUGUAAACCUCUUUUGUUAGAGAAGAUAAUGACGGUAUCUAACGAAUAAGCACCGGCUAACUCCGUGCCAGCAGCCGCGGUAAUACGGAGGGUGCAAGCGUUAUUCGGAAUCACUGGGCGUAAAGAGCGCGUAGGCGGGAUAGCAAGUCAGAUGUGAAAUGCUAUGGCUUAACCAUAGAACUGCAUUGGAAACUGUUAUUCUAGAGUAUGGGAGAGGUAGGUGGAAUUCUUGGUGUAGGGGUGAAAUGCGUAGAGAUGAAGAGGAAUACUCAUUGCGAAGGCGGCCUGCUGGAACGUAACUGACGCUGAUGCGCGAAAGCGUGGGGAGCAAACAGGAUUAGAUACCCCAGUAGUC
rnacentral:rRNA from 1 species